rnacentral:rRNA from 1 species
AGAGUUUGAUCCUGGCUCAGGAUGAACGCUGGCGGCGUGCUUAACACAUGCAAGUCGAACGAGGUUAAGCGGAAGCCCUCGGGACGGAAGCUUUACCGAGUGGCGGACGGGUGAGUAACGCGUGGGUAACCUGCCCUGUACUGGGGGACAACGGUUGGAAACGACUGCUAAUACCGCAUAAGCGCACGAGAUCGCAUGGUUUUGUGUGAAAAACUCCGGUGGUACAGGAUGGACCCGCGUCUGAUUAGCUAGUUGGUGGGGUAACGGCCUACCAAGGCGACGAUCAGUAGCCGACCUGAGAGGGUGAUCGGCCACAUUGGGACUGAGACACGGCCCAAACUCCUACGGGAGGCAGCAGUGGGGAAUAUUGCACAAUGGGGGAAACCCUGAUUGCAGCAACGCCGCGUGAGUGAAGAAGUAUUUCGGUAUGUAAAGCUCUAUCAGCAGGGAAGAAAAUGACGGUACCUGACUAAGAAGCCCCGGCUAACUACGUGCCAGCCGCCGC